rnacentral:rRNA from 1 species
UACAGAGGUCCCGAGCGUUGUUCGGAUUCAUUGGGCGUAAAGGGUGCGUAGGCGGCGGGGCAAGUCUGAUGUGAAAUCCUGGGGCUCAACCUCAGAACUGCAUUGGAUACUGCCUUGCUAGAGUACUGGAGAGGGAACUGGAAUUUACGGUGUAGCAGUGAAAUGCGUAGAGAUCGUAAGGAAGGCCGGUGGCGAAGGCGAGUUCCUGGACAGUUACUGACGCUGAGGCACGAAGGCCAGGGGAGCGAACGGG